CCUACGGGGGGCAGCAGUCGAGAAUCUUUCACAAUGGGGGAAACCCUGAUGGAGCGACGCCGCGUGGAGGAUAAGGUCUUCGGAUUGUAAACUCCUGUCAUGCGAGAACUAGUAUCGCAAGAGGAAGAGACGGCUAACUCUGUGCCAGCAGCCGCGGUAAUACAGAGGUCUCAAGCGUUGUUCGGAAUCACUGGGCGUAAAGGGUGUGUAGGCGGCGUGGAAAGUCAGAUGUGAAAUCCGGGGGCUCAACCCCCGAAUAGCAUCCGAUACUGCCAUGCUUGAGGUCUGUAGAGGAGUCUGGAAUUCUCGGUGUAGCAGUGAAAUGCGUAGAUAUCGAGAGGAACACUUAUAGCGAAAGCAAGACUCUGGGCAGACUGACGCUGAAACACGAAGGCCAGGGUAGCGAACGGGAUUAGAUACCCUUGUAGUC
rnacentral:rRNA from 1 species